rnacentral:rRNA from 1 species
GACGAACGCUGGCGGCGUGCUUAACACAUGCAAGUCGAACGGAAAGGCCCUGCUUUUGUAGGGUGCUCGAGUGGCGAACGGGUGAGUAACACGUGAGUAACCUGCCCUUGACUUUGGGAUAACUUCAGGAAACUGGGGCUAAUACCGGAUAGGAGCUCCUGCUGCAUGGUGGGGGUUGGAAAGUUUCGGCGGUUGGGGAUGGACUCGCGGCUUAUCAGCUUGUUGGUGGGGUAGUGGCUUACCAAGGCUUUGACGGGUAGCCGGCCUGAGAGGGUGACCGGCCACAUUGGGACUGAGAUACGGCCCAGACUCCUACGGGAGGCAGCAGUGGGGAAUAUUGCACAAUGGGCGGAAGCCUGAUGCAGCAACGCCGCGUGCGGGAUGACGGCCUUCGGGUUGUAAACCGCUUUCGCCUGUGACGAAGCGUGAGCGACGGUAAUGGGUAAAGAAGCACCGGCUAACUACGUG